rnacentral:lncRNA from 1 species
CCCCAGGAGGACUCUGAGGACAGCGACACCGAUGUGGAGGAGGAGACCUCAAACCCCCCCCCGGCGCGACCCCCCCUCAAUUUCACCAGCCCUGCAGUGCCCUUCGCCCCUCUGGGACCCCCCCCGGUUCCGAGGCUCCCAGCAGUUGGAGGGGUCCUCCCCCCGGCCCCGGCGCCCCCCCCCAUCCCAGAGGAGGAGGAGGAGGAUGAAGACUACGACUCUUAGCGUGCCCCCCCCCCCCCUCCCACUUUUCAGAUUUUGGGGCAAUUUGGGCCAAUUUUGGGCAAUCUCACAUCGACUGAGCGUGAGGACAGCACUGAGACCCCCCCCUCCCCCUCACUGCCCCCAAAGCACAGUGUGUGUGUGUCGGGGGGGACGACUGUCCCUCUCUGUAUGCUUUGUCCCCUUUUUUUUUGGGGGGGGGGAGGGGAGAAGUGGGGGGCUGGCUUUUAGGGGCUGUUGCCGACUUUUAACCAUUCUGGGUUUUUUUUUUUAUGGGGCUCCAAUAAACGUUCCCAUUUCCA